CCCUCCAACGCUAUUGGUGGCUCGGCUCGAGCACGAACACGCAUGUCACGCGACCCCGCUCUCCGUGCAGACCGGACCGCCCCCUUCUCGGCUGCGAGAUGUUGCUUUUCCUCGCCCCCUUCCGAAAGGCGUCCCCUCCUUUUCUCCACCCACUUGGUUCGAGCGCGAUCGACCUUUCCUCGCCUCUGCUCUUUCCCCCCCCCCCAAAGAAAACACGCCGGUGGUCACACGCAACUGCUAACGUCACCUGACACAAUGCCCUUUGUCUAGCCCCUGCCUCGAGCCCGCCACACCGAGGCCAACGGUCGUUUUUGUCGCGCGCCCAGUGACUCAGCAUUUUCUGUCUCUCCGCCCCCCCCCGCAUGGGGUCUCAACUCUGUCGGUCUAUCUACCAAUAAACGUCCUUUCGCUUAACUCGACACAAUCUUUAGUCCUAAUAGUGCGAGAGGCGCCAGUACAAAGGGACAGGAAUUAUGUUCGGAUUACGUAAAGGUCAAGGCGUCGAAGUUACAUUGAGAUUAUCUUUGCUCCUUUUUCAUUCAGUGGGUCAACCCUUUUCACAGCAGAGAGCGCCGUGAGCUGGGCGGAAGUGAAGUUGGAGCGCAGAGCUGGUCGGGAAGGUAAGUGAUUGAUAUUUGAGUGGGUGUGUUCUAGAUCCCAGGCCCUACAAAGUUGGGCCUCCCUCCCAUCCUCCUCCUCUAACCUAACUUUAAAGUCCACAGGUAAGCUACUCAGUGUUCUUGUUU